CGUGGAUUGUCUGGAUGCAU
rnacentral:miRNA from 1 species